GCAAGUGAGUUGUCCUUCCAAUACAAUUGGGACUAUAAAGAGAAGAUUAGCAUGGUCCCUGCCCAAGGAUGAUGCACAUACACAAAUCUACAAAAAGUAA